GUGUGUCUGUCUGUAGGUGUGUCUGUCUGUAGGUAGAUGUGUGUGUCUGUCUGUAGGUGUGUCUGUCUGUAGGUAGAUGUGUGUGUCUGUCUGUAGGUGUGUCUGUCUGUAGGUAGAUGUGUGUGUCUGUCUGUAGGUGUGUCUGUCUGUAGGUAGAUGUGUCUGUCUGUAGGUAGAUGUGUGUGUCUGUCUGUAGGUGUGUCUGUCUGUAGGUAGAUGUGUGUGUCUGUCUGUAGGUGUGUCUGUCUGUAGGUAGAUGUGUGUGUCUGUCUGUAGGUAGAUGUGUGUGUCUGUCUGUAGGUAGAUGUGUGUGUCUGUCUGUAGGUGUGUCUGUCUGUCUGUAGGUGUGUCUGUCAGAAGAUGUGUCUGUCUGUAGAGGUGUCUGUCUGUAGGUGUGUGUGUCUGUCUGUAGGUGUGUGUGUCUGUAGGUAGAUGUGUGUGUCUGUCUGUAGGUGUGUCUGUCUGUAGGUAGAUGUGUGUGUCUGUCUGUAGGUGUGUGUGUCUGUAGGUGUGUCUGUCUGUAGGUAGAUGUGUGUGUCUGUCGGUAGGUGUGUCUGUCUGUAGGUAGAUGUGUGUGUCUGUCUGUAGGUGUGUCUGUCUGUAGGUAGAUGUGUGUGUCUGUCUGUAGGUAGAUGUGUGUGUCUGUCUGUAGGUGUGUCUGUCUGUAGGUAGAUGUGUCUGUCUGUAGGUAGAUGUGUGUGUCUGUCUGUAGGUGUGUCUGUCUGUAGGUAGAUGUGUGUGUCUGUCUGUAGGUGUGUCUGUCUGUAGGUAGAUGUGUGUGUCUGUCUGUAGGUGUGUCUGUCUGUAGGUGUGUCUGUCUGUCUGUAGAUGUGUCUGUCUGUAGGUGUGUCUGUCUGUCUGUAGGUGUGUCUGUCAGAAGAUGUGUCUGUCUGUAGAGGUGUCUGUCUGUAGGUGUGUGUGUCUGUCUGUAGGUGUGUGUGUCUGUAGGUAGAUGUGUGUGUCUGUCUGUAGAUGUGUCUGUCUGUAGGUAGAUGUGUGUGUCUGUCUGUAGGUAGAUGUGUGUGUCUGUCUGUAGGUAGAUGUGUGUGUCUGUCUGUAGGUAGAUGUGUGUGUC